UUGCUUUAGCAGCGCAUAUACUAAAACUAGAACAAUACAGAGAGGAUUAGCAUGGCUCCUAUGCAAGGACGACACACAAAUUUGUGAAGCAUUCCAUAUUUAA